rnacentral:rRNA from 1 species
UACGUAGGGUGCGAGCGUUAAUCGGAAUUACUGGGCGUAAAGCGUGCGCAGGCGGUUUUGUAAGCCAGAUGUGAAAUCCCCGGGCUCAACCUGGGAAUGGCAUUUGGGACUGCAAGGCUGGAGUGCGGCAGAGGAGACUGGAAUUCCUGGUGUAGCAGUGAAAUGCGUAGAUAUCAGGAGGAAUACCGAUGGCGAAGGCAGGUCUCUGGGCUGACACUGACGCUCAUGCACGAAAGCGUGGGGAGCAAACAGGA